rnacentral:rRNA from 1 species
UACGGAGGGUGCAAGCGUUAUCCGGAUUUACUGGGUUUAGAGGGUGCGCAGGCGGAUAUGUAAGUCAGUGGUGAAAUCUUCCCGCUUAACGGGAAAACUGCCGUUGAUACUAUAUAUCUUGAAUGCUGUGGAGGUAAGCAGAAUAUGUCAUGUAGCGGUGAAAUGCUUAGAGAUGACAUAGAAUACCUAUUGCGAAGGCAGCUUACUACACAGAUAUUGACGCUCAUGCACGAAAGCGUGGGGAUCAAACAGG